rnacentral:ncRNA from 1 species
AGUAGAGGUUGCGUCGAUCAUUAGUAAGGAGGCCGGAUGUAUCAGGCACAGAGGAUGGCCUUUUGAAAGGGAGAGACGCCGAAGAUGGGAGGGCGCCUGAGGCCCUUGCUUCUGGGCAUAUGGUGAAGAACCAUAUGACUGUCAUCCGGGUGGAUGGGGAGCUACUGA